GGCCCACCUGCUGGACGUGACUAGCUUGCACUUCUUCUAAUAAAAAGAAUUGCAACUUCUUCUCCAAAAGCCAACCACCGUACCUCAUGCUCUACCUAAUCACCUUCAUCUAUCUACUCAUCUCUUCAUUCUGCUUCUCAUGCUCUACCUAAUCACCUUCAUCUAUCUAUUCAUCUCUUCAUUCUGCUUCUAUUCAGACCUUCUCUCUGCUCAUUGGUUGGAAUCAGAUUUUGCCUUGCAAGGUGCGUUUCUUCUUCUGCAUUUUCUUUCGAUUCAGUUCAUGAUUGUUGCUUCUUCUGGAUACGUUGGUUAUUAUUUAGUACAUUUUUAACAAUACAUGGGUACAAUUUCAUUUGUCCAUCCCAAAUUCCCAGUAGAUAAUCUAAAUGGGAGAAUAGUAACCCUUUCCCAACAUGGUAGGUUACUUUAGAGUUUAUUUGGAUAAUUUCUUUUUAAGAAACUGAUAGGUUUCAGCAUAAAUGAUAGUAACCCAUUCCUAUUUUGAAUAAAACAAAGUAAAUGGAGGUAUAUACGGGCUUCACGAAUAAAUAGGACAAAUAUUCUUUUAUGGUUUAUUGAAAUGAAAUGUAUUUAUUAUUAGAUAUAUUGAACUAUGAACACCUAUUAUUACUAAAAUUGUAAUUUCACAGUGCAAUUAACAAUACAUUUAAGUGUUUUCCAUGAAGCAACUUUCUUGCAAUCUUUCUCCAAUCCAAUAAACAAUCACAUUGAUUUUAAGGAAACAAAAGUGGUUUUUCAGUUUUAUGUAGAGAACCCAUUUCCCAUAAAUAGUCUAACUUUGCCAUUUCCACUACUUAAAAGAGGGAUGUGCAUAUAGCAUGAUGUCUUUAUUUCAUUUUCAUUGAAUCUUGAUUUGAAUAGAUUCUGCUUAUACUUGUGACAGAAAUAGUUUUAUAAGGGUUAUAAACACCUCAGUAAUGAAAACUUAAAGCCGAAAGGAAAAUGAAAGGUAUGGUAGCAAAAGUAUAUUAUGGAUUGAAUGAAGUAUUGAAAAACAUAUACAUGAAAGAAUUAAAUUAUGGAUUGAAUAGGAAAUAGUUUUCAACUUUCUUAGUAUUGUUUAGGUUCUAAUAACAGAGUCAUCCUUGUUGUUUAGACUUGACCUUUCGGUUUUAUGUUUGUGGUCCGAACAGUCUUUGUGGCUUGUUUAACCGUACGGUUCCGUGGUUUGGUUUUUUGGCCUUUUGUUCGGUUUUUUUGUCUCUCUUAGACCGUUCGGUCUUUUGCUUUGACCGUUCGGUCAUUCUCUGUGUUGUGGCGUAAGUUGAUUAUAUAUUGUAGCCAACUCACGUUUUCAGAGUAAGUUUUCAAUCACAAUAAUAUUCAUAUUACAAACUUUCUAUGUUCUCUCUUGUCUUUCUUCUCUGGGUUUCUCUGUUUCUUCUCACGAACCCAACAAUCCUGCAAUACAGCGAAAAAGUAGUAUAACAGUUACAUCAGAGCACAUAGGAAAGCUUUGAACCUAUCAAAUAAAGAAGCAUACAUCCGUGAUACGAGUAUCAUCACGUUCCGUACUAAAUCCAAAUUAACUAAAAUUGUUCAGAUUGCAUGAUGUCUAAAAGAAAAGUUUAAUAACUUUAUUCACUUUCGUAUUGCAUGAUGUCUAAGGGAAUGCAGUUUAAGUUUGUGAGCCAUACUAAGAAAGUUAUUAAACAAAAAGGGGAACCAAAGAAGAACAUCAUGACAGUGAACCAAAGAGGGGAACAACCCAUUAUACGUUACAAAAAGAACGUAGGAGGCACACUAGGAUUUGGAAGCUGUGACUUGCGGGAAUAUUUGGUUUGACAGUCAGUACCUUGUUCUGCCAUCACCCUCAGUAAUCACAUCCUUGAAGGAUUCAUUACUGGGAAUCAUCCAAAGCACGUGUUCCUGAUUAAACCUAUCAUCCUGCAAUAUAGCCAAAAAGUAGUAUAACAGUUACAUCCAUUACUGGGAAUCUUGGAGCUUCGAGAGCAGAUAUUAAUGUGCAGAAAGAAAAGUUUCCUAUGAGUUAUAAGAAGUUUGCUGAUGAGAUUUCUCCUCAGCACGCAAUUGAGGUUCUUGUUGAGUUGACAAAUGGAGAUGCUAUUGUUAGCACUGGGUUAGGGCAGCAUCAAAUAUGGGUUGCACAAUUCUACAAGUACAAGAGGCCUAGACAGUGGUUGACUUCAGGGGGUCUUGGAGCUAUGGGUUUUGGAUUGCCUGCAGCUAUUGGUGCUGCUGUAGCGAAUCCUAGUGCUUUGGUUGUUAACAUUGAUGGAGAUGGGAGUUUCAUAAUGAAUGUUCAGGAGUUGGCAACUAUAAGAGUGGAGAAUCUCCCUGUUAAGAUAUUGUUGUUGAAUAAUCAGCACUUGGGUAUGGUUGUUUAGUGGGAGGACCGGUUCUACAAGGCCAACAGAGAUCACACGUAUAUGGGAGAUCCCUCGAGGGAGAAUGAGAUAUUCCCGAACAUGCUAAAGUUUGCAGAUGCUUGUGGGAUACCCGGGUAGCGUGUGACGAAGAAGAAAGAGCCUAGACGGGCAAUUCAGAAAAUGCUAUACACCCCUGGCCCCUAUCUUCUUGAGGUCAUAGUGCCUCAUCAGGAACCAAAGCACCAGGGUUCGCACAGCAGCACCAAUAUUGUUGCUAUUGGAUUGCCUGCAGCUAUUGGUGCUAUUGGAUUACUUGCAACUAUUUGUGCUAUUGGAUUGCCUCCAUCUAUUGGUGCUAUUGGAUUGCCUCCAUCUAUUGGUGCUAUUGGAUUGUCUGCAGCUAUUGGUGUUGUUGGAUUGUCUGCAUCUAUUGGUGCUAUUAGAUUGCUUACAUCUAUUGGUGCUAUUGGAUUGCAUGCAUCUAUUGGUGCUAUUGGAUUUCCUGCAGCAAUUGGUGCUAUUGGAUUGCCUGCAUCUAUUGGUGCUAUUGGAUUACCUGCAUCUAUUGGUGCUACUGUAGCAAACCCUGGUGCUCUGGUGCUAUUGGUGCUAUUGGAUUGCAGGCAAUCCAAUAGCACCAAUAGCUGCAGGCAAUCCAAUAGCACCAAUAGCUGCAGGCAAUCCAAUAGCACGAAUAAAUGCAGACAAUCCAAUAGCACCAAUAGAUGCAGGCAAUCCAAUAGCACCAAUAGAUGCAGGCAAUCCAAUAGCACCAAUAGAUGCAGGCAAUCCAAUAGCACNNNNNNNNNNNNNNNNNNNNNNNNNNNNNNNNNNNNNNNNNNNNNNNNNNNNNNNNNNNNNNNNNNNNNNNNNNNNNNNNNNNNNNNNNNNNNNNNNNNNNNNNNNNNNNNNNNNNNNNNNNNNNNNNNNNNNNNNNNNNNNNNNAAUAGCACCAAUAGAUGCAGGCAAUCCAAUAGCACCAAUAGAUGCAGGCAAUCCAAUAGCACCAAUAGAUGCAGGCAAUCCAAUAGCACCAAUAGCUGCAGACAAUCCAAUAGCACCAAUAGCUGCAGACAAUCUAAUAGCACCAAUACAUGCAGGCAAUCCAAUAGCACCAAUAGAUGCAGGCAAUCCAAUAGCACAAAUAGUUGCAGGCAAUCCAAUAGCACCAAUAACUACAGGCAAUCCAAUAGCACCAAUAGCCGCAGGCAAUCUUAUAGCACCAAUAGAUGUUAUUGGGGCUACUGUAGCGAACUCUGGUGGUUUGGUUCCUGAUGAGGCACUAUGACCUCAAGAAGAUAGGGGCCAGGGGUGUCUAGCAUUUUCUGAAUUGCCCGUCUAAGCUCUUUCUUCUUCGUCACACGCUCCCCGGGUAUCCCACAUGCAUCUGCAAACUUUAGCAUGUUCGGGAAUAUCUCAUUCUCCCUCGAGGGAUCUUCCAUAUACGUGUGAGCUCUGUUGGCCUUUUAGAACCGGUCCUCCCACUAAAUAACCAUACCAAGUGCUGAUUAUUCAACAACAAUAUCUUAACAGGGAGAUUCUCCACUCUUAUAGUCGCCAACUCCUGAACAUUCAUUAUGAAACUCCCAUCUCCAUCAAUGUCAACAACCAAAGCACUGGGAUUCGCUACAGCAGCACCAAUAGCUGCAGGCAAUCCAAAACCCAUAACUCCAAGACCCCCUGAAGUCAACCACUGUCUAGGCCUCUUGUACUUGUAGAAUUGUGCAACCCAUAUUUGAUGUUGCCCUAACCUAGUGCUAACAAUAACAUCUCCAUUUGUCAACUCAUCAAGAACCUCAAUUGCCUGCUGAGGAGAAAUCCCAUCAGCAAACUUCUUAUAACUCAUAGGAAACUUUUCUUUCUGCACAUUAAUAUCUGCUCUCCAAGCUCCAAGAUUUCCAGUAAUGGAUGUAAAUGUUAUACUACUUUUUGGCUACAUUGCAGGAUGAUAGGUUUCAUUAGGAUCACGUGCUUCGGAUGAUUCCCAGCAAUGGAUUCUUCAAGGAUGUGAUUACUGAGGGUGAUGGCAGAACAAGGUACUGACUAUCAACACCAAAUAUUCCCGCAAGUCUUAGCUUCCAAAUCCUAGUGUGCCUCCAACGUUCUUUUUGUAACGUGUCGCAACCAGAAAAUCGCGACGGGACGACCAUCCAAAAAAAAGAGAAACGAUUUGGAAAAGAGUUUGGAGUCGCCACCAUAGUUUAUUCUGGAAACUACGGAAAAACCAUAAAAUGAUAAGGCACGGUCCAUGAAAACCAAAGAUUGGGUUCGGGAGUCGGUUACGUGUAGGGAAGGUGUUAGCACCCUACAACGCCUGCCCGAAGGCAAUACCUUUAAUUAAAUACGCGAAUAAAGAUGUGGUUUGCAAAAUGUUUAAUUUCCCCUUAAGAAAUAAAACUCUAAAGAAAACAAAAUAUUUUUUGUGUUUUUUGUGUCCGACAAGGAUUGACCUUGCUCCUACGUAUUCUCAGUUGGACUGAGAAAUCAGGGUUACGUAGUUCUUUUGAUCGUUUGGGUGAUUGUUUGAAAACAUGACGUUUUAUAUUUUUUGUUGAUUUUUUUUGAAAGAAGAAAAAAAAAAGUUUUUGACACAAGGCUACGCGGAUGGUCGCACGUGUGCUUAAACCUCUUAAAAUAUUUUUGCAUUUUUUGAAAGAAGGAGGAAAAGGUUUUAACACAAGGCUGACGCGACUGGUCGCACGUGUGCUUAAACCUUUUUAAAAUAUUUUUGUAUUUUUUUGAAAGAAGGAGGAAAAGGUUUUAACACAAGGCUGACGCGAAUGGUCGCACGUGUGCUUAAAUCUUUCAAAAUAUUUUUGUAUUUUUUGAAAGAAGGAGGAAAAGGUUUUAACACAAGGCUAACGCGAAUGGUCGCACGUGUGCUUAAACCUUUUUUAAAUAUAUUUUUUACUUUUUUAUAAAAGGAAAGAAGGUAUUAGCACGAGGACGACGCAUGCGAUCAUACACGUGCUUAAAUCCUUAAAACAUUUUUUUUAAUUUUUUAACAAUUACUUAAAGGUAGAAAAUAAAAUAAAAAAAUAAAAUAAAUAGGUAAAUAACUAAAUGAAAAUAAAAUAAAAUAAACUUAAAAGUUAAAUGAUAAGAUAAAAUAAAAAAAAAACAAAAUAAUAAGUAAAAAAGAUAUGGAGUGCUUAACUAAGAAGAGAGGGUGCAAAACCUAAUUUAAUUCUAAUAGCAGAUUGGGCCUAAGCCCAAGUGGAAAGGGAUAUGAAUAUGAAAAUAGGGGGCUGCAAGAAGGAAAUUCGAAUGGGCUUAAGCCCAAGAAGGAUGGGGUGCGAACUGGAAACAUAGGGGUGCAGAAAGGAUUUGUUUUUAGUUAUUUCCUUAUGGCCCAGCGUUGGCCCAGAAAGUAAAAAAAAAGGGUGCCUGAAUGGAAAAAUGGGAGUGCAGAGGGGGAGGCUGGUUCGAAAUUGGGCCCAAGGCCCUCUCAAGCUUGAGAAAUCCCUUAGGGGUUCAGCCCCUGCCUUUCAUUCUCAACACUCGUGCCUUACUCCCAAGGAGACCUAGGGUCUCUUGCCUCAGUCAGACCCAGCCACCAUGCCACCGCCGGUCACCAUGCCGCCGUUCAUGGAGUCGAUCAGCCCCAGCGACGCUGGCGCACCUGCCAACGUCCGGCCAGCGACCUUAUCGCCGGCCACUCUCUCCCUUCCUCUUCGCGACUCGUCCCAGGGUUGGGGUUUUUUACCCUCGAGCGCCGCCGGCCACCGCAGCACACCAGUCCCGACAUCGCCGGCGACUAAGGUUGCGUCCUCACAGGGUUGCUAACAUUGCAACCCCUAAUCAUCACUCACACUGCCACUGGAUCUUGCAAUCGGAAAACUCACUCAUUUCUCUAUUUCUUCUUCUCCCUUUGUUCUUUGCUUUCGAGGCUGAAGCACUUGCCUUCCACUUGCGCCGCACCCAGUCGCCACCUCUCGGACCGCGAACUAGGGGCGCGCCGCUUCCUCCUGCUUACAUUUCAUCUUCGACUUGGAUUCUGAUGGGGAUAGGGUUGUUGGCUUCGAUUGACACAACUGAAGGGUGAAAGAAACACACCGUGGUGUUCCUGUGCGACUUUGUGUUCUGUAUUGUGUGUAUGUUAUUGUGCGUGUGUGUAUUGAUGCAGAUGGGGCAUGUUGGGGAACUGCUUUGGGUGAUUUGGAAUUUCUGAUUUUCAGUUGUUUUGAGUCUCUGUUAUGGCAUUGUUGUUGUGCUUAAACGGGUUGGAUUAGCUUUCUUUUCUUGCUCAACUGUUGGCUUCGAACAUAGGGGAAAAAGAACAAAGCUUGGGAUGGUGAGAGAUAUUCGGUGAGUUGGUUUCUGGAUAAUAGGAGAGUGAACCUCAGAGGCUAAAGGUCGUGCAAGAAGGAGAUGGUUGUUAUAUUCUCUUGUUUCUAAUGCAGGGCCGAUGAGCAAGGUGUGACAAAAGUGGCGGAAAUGUUAACAGGCAUGGAGGUCGUUCAAUGGCAGAAGGGAAAUCAAAGAAAGAAUGUGGGACGAUAGUGGUGAUGUUGGGAGAGGGUGGAAAUCGUUGAUGUAAUGCAGAUGGAUGUAAUGCAGAUGGAGAUUUCAGUUUAAAGAGAGAGGGCAAUAUGCAUGGGACGGCGACAAAGCAAGGAGAUAUUCACAUCGUAACAUGAUUUUCAAACAAAGCAGCUUCAAGUAUAGAACGAACACAAUGCAACCAGCUCAAAUGAAGAUACAUGAAGAUUUAAGUGAAGCGAACGAAGUGUGUACCUCUUGAAGCUUCUAUUGUUAGCCUAGUAUUUCCUGCAAUCUCCUUUUCUUCCAAUGAAGCACCCUUCUUUUUCUUUUCUUUGUGGUAUUGGACACCAAGCUCUCCCUGUUGCUAAAACUCUGAGAGCUCCUCUUGUGGCUGGUUUUCCCUUUUUCUUGUAGGUGAAAUAUGACUAUGGUAACCUGGUUGAAUGAUCUUUGGUGAGGAUAAUGAAGAGUGUAGUUGUGAGAGAUGAUUCUCUUCCUCUCCUAUAUUAGCUCUUGUUGUCUUCUUUUUGUUCCCCCGUUCUUGUUGUGAUGUUGUGCUCUUUUGUUCUGAUGGUGCACCCUCUGGUUUUCUGUUUUUUUCUGAAUCAAUCGGGGCAUAUCUCUUGGGAUUUCGCCAUUGUCUUUUUCUUUUUCUUGCGUUUAAAUUGAAUUCAUUAAUCAAAGCGAUUCAAAUUUCCUUUCCUCUUUGAUGUAAGAUUGUGAUUCUGUCCAAGGAUUUUUGGUUUGUAAACUGUGAUCACAUUGUAGCAGAGGGGAGCAGUAAGUAUCCUCAUCUUCCCUCUUUUUUUUUUUUUUUUUUUUUUUUUUUUUUUUUUGUUUU
rnacentral:lncRNA from 1 species